rnacentral:rRNA from 1 species
UGGGGAAUAUUGCACAAUGGGGGAAACCCUGAUGCAGCGACGCCGCGUGAACGAAGAAGGUAUUCGUAUCGUAAAGUUCUGUCCUAUGGGCAGAUAAUGACAGUACCAUAGAAGAAAGCUCCGGCUAAAUACGUGCCAGCAGCCGCGGUAAUACGUAUGGAGCGAGCGUUGUCCGGAAUUAUUGGGCGUAAAGGGUACGCAGGCGGUUUAAUAAGUCGAAUGUUAAAGAUCGGGGCUCAACCCCGCAAAGCAUUGGAAACUGAUGAACUUGAGUAGUGGAGAGGAGAGUGGAAUUCCUAGUGUAGUGUUGAAAUACGUAGAUAUUAGGAGGAAUACCAGUAGCGAAGGCGACUUUCUGGACACAAACGGACGCUGAGGUACGAAAGCGUGGGGAGCAAACAGG